GAUGAACGCUGGCGGCGUGCCUAAUACAUGCAAGUCGAGCGAACAGACGAGGAGCUUGCUCCUCUGACGUUAGCGGCGGACGGGUGAGUAACACGUGGAUAACCUACCUAUAAGACUGGGAUAACUUCGGGAAACCGGAGCUAAUACCGGAUAAUAUAUUGAACCGCAUGGUUCAAUAGUGAAAGACGGUGUUGCUGUCACUUAUAGAUGGAUCCGCGCCGCAUUAGCUAGUUGGUACGGUAACGGCUUACCAAGGGAACGAUGCGUAGCCGACCUGAGAGGGUGAUCGGCCACCCUGGAGCUGAGACACGGUCCAGGCUCCUACGUGAGGCAGCAGUAGGGAAGCUUCCGCACUGGGCGAAAGCCUGACGGAGCAACGCCGCGUGAGUGAUGAAGGUCUUCGGGUCGUAAAACUCUGUUAUUAUGGAAGAACAAAUGUGUAAGUAACUAUGCGCGUCUUGACGGUACCUAAUCAGAAAGCCACGGCAACCUACGU
rnacentral:rRNA from 1 species